UAAAAGUUACUGUUUCAUUGGACUGCCUGAACUUUGAAACAUCUGGGAAGUUUUGAAAAGAGAAUUUAGAGAUUAAAAAUUAGACAUGAGAUUUUAAGAGUGGAAGUUCUGAAGAUUAGAAAUUUCAGUGAUAAAACUCAGAAUAAUGAGAAACAAGGCUGCUAUUGUUCCUUGAAAUUCCUGCAAAGUCUACCCUAGAUAAAUUCCAAAAGGAAGUAGGAAAUUGUGAAAACUACUGUUUUAUUGAUUUCUCAAUUGAUUUUCUGAGGAUUUUCAAGUCCUGAAGUUUUUCUUUCUUGUUCAUUGGAGACUAAAUAUGGAUUGAUACUGGUUGCUUUCUUUUGAAAGUCUUGUUUCAAGUUGUUCGAGUAUCACACCUCCUGGGUUUUAAGCUAUGUUUGGUUAGCUGUUUGUUGUUGAUCACUACUGUUACUCUGCUGAUACCUCAUUAUUUCUCUUCCUGUUUCAAUAUCCAG
rnacentral:lncRNA from 1 species